GAUGAACGCUGGCGGCGUGCCUAAUACAUGCAAGUCGAGCGAACGGACGAGAAGCUUGCUUCUCUGAUGUUAGCGGCGGACGGGUGAGUAACACGUGGAUAACCUACCUAUAAGACUGGGAUAACUUCGGGAAACCGGAGCUAAUACCGGAUGAUAUUUUGAACCGCAUGGUUCAAAAGUGAAAGACGGUCUUGCUGUCACUUAUAGAUGGAUCCGCGCUGCAUUAGCUAGUUGGUAAGGUAACGGCUUACCAAGGCAACGAUGCAUAGCCGACCUGAGAGGGUGAUCGGCCACACUGGGACUGAGACACGGUCCAGACUCCUACGGGAGGCAGCAGUAGGGAAUCUUCCGCAAAGGGCGAAAGCCUGACGGAGCAACGCCGCGUGAGUGAUGAAGGUCUUCGGAUCGUAAAACUCUGUUAUUAGGGAAGAACAUAUGUGUAAGUAACUGUGCACAUCUUGACGGUACCUAAUCAGAAAGCCACGGCUAACUACGUG
rnacentral:rRNA from 1 species